rnacentral:rRNA from 1 species
UUGCAUGGCUGUCGUCAGCUCGUGUCGUGAGAUGUUCGGUUAAGUCCGCUAACGAGCGCAACCCUCGCUGUGUGUUAUAUGUGUCACACGGGACUGCCGGUCUUAAGCCGGAGGAGGUGGGGAUGAUGUCAAGUCAGCAUGGCCUUUAUAUCCUGGGCUACACACACGCUACAAUGGCCAACACAAUAGGUUGCUAAGCCGCGAGGUGGCGCCAAUCCAUAAAGUUGGUCUCAGUUCAGAUUGUAGGCUGCAACCCGCCUGCAUGAAGAUGGAGUUGCUAGUAACCGCAGGUCAGCUAUACUGCGGUGAAUACGUUCCCGGGGCUU